UGGGGAAUAUUGGACAAUGGGCGAAAGCCUGAUCCAGCCAUGCCGCGUGUGUGAAGAAGGUCUUCGGAUUGUAAAGCACUUUAAGUUGGGGGGAAGGGCAGUAAGUUAAUACCUUGCUGCUUUGACGUUACCGACAGAAUCAGCACCGGCUAACUCUGUGCCAGCAGCCGCGGUAAUACAGAGGGUGCAAGCGUUAAUCGGAAUUACUGGGCGUAAAGCGCGCGUAGGUGGUUUGUUAAGUUGGAUGUGAAAGCCCCGGGCUCAACCUGGGAACUGCAUCCAAAACUGGCAAGCUAGAGUACGGAAGAGGGUGGAGGAAUUUCCUGUGUAGCGGUGAAAUGCGUAGAUAUUGGGAGGAACACCGGUGGCGAAGGCGACCACCUGGACUGAUACUGACACUGAGGUGCGAAAGCGUGGGGAGCAAACA
rnacentral:rRNA from 1 species